rnacentral:rRNA from 1 species
AGAGUUUGAUCCUGGCUCAGGAUGAACGCUAGCGGCAGGCUUAACACGAUGGCAAGUCGAGGGGCGAGCGCGGUUGUAGUAAUACGAAUUGGCGGCGACCGGCGCAAGGGUGCGUAACGCGUGAGCGACACUGCCCGUGACCGGGGGAUAACCGAUGGAAACGUCGCUAACCCCCAUACGAUGGAGGACCGCAUGGUUCUUCAUUAAAAAUUCCGGUGGUCACGGAUUGGCUCGCGUCCCAUUAGCUAGUCGGGGGGUAACGGCCCACCGAGGCGACGAUGGGUAGGGGUUCUGAGAGGAAGGUCCCCCACAAUGGAACUGAGACACGGUCCAUACUCCUACGGGAGGCAGCAGUGAGGAAUAUUGGUCAAUGGGCGGAAGCCUGAACCAGCCAUGCCGCGUGCAGGAAGACGGCCCUAUGGGUUGUAAACUGCUUUUGAGCGGGAGCAAUAAGGGUGUCGAGCACAUCCGAUGAGAGUACCGUUCGAAUAAGCAUCGGCUAACUCCGUGCC